rnacentral:rRNA from 1 species
CACGUAGGCACCAAGCGUUGUCCGGAUUUAUUGGGCGUAAAGAGCUCGUAGGCGGUUCAGUAAGUCGGGUGUGAAAACUCUGGGCUCAACCCAGAGACGCCACCCGAUACUGCUGUGACUUGAGUACGGUAGGGGAGUGGGGAAUUCCUGGUGUAGCGGUGAAAUGCGCAGAUAUCCGGAGGAACACCGGUGGCGAAGGCGGCUUCCUGGACCGACACUGACGCUGAGGCGCGAAAGCUAGGGGAGCAAACGGG